rnacentral:lncRNA from 1 species
UCUUGAUUGGCAGUUGGUUGAAGGAGUUCAGCUUAAGAUAAGGAGGGAUGUGGAAGCCAAGGUUCUCGCUGUGUAGAUGGAGCCUUCAGGUAACAGGCUUCAGAUAUAAUAGAUGGUAAAUGUAUUUUGUCAGGUUUUAAAAGAUGUUAGACUUUUAGUUAAAUCUCUCCUGUAUCGGGAAAAAACCUGGAAAGAUUUCCAUACUACUGGCAAAGAUCUCACUAAUUAGCCCUCAUAUAUUGACUUCUGUUUUCAUUUUUCUUCUUUAUUUAUCCUCAAUUGAUUGGUGAUUCCAGCCCUUUGGUCCAGCACUCAAGCCUGGAUCACUCAGUCAUCAUCUUUAUCCACUAACUGCUGGACUCUAAUGAAAAGAAAGCUCUUACCUGCCCAACUUAUUGCCUCCAAGUGUACCAAGAUACGUUUCUCUCUGACAUUGCCUGUACAUUUGCCUGUAGAACUGAAUAAAUGCCUAAAAAAUUAGUGCUAAAUGGCAGCAACUAGAGUUUACUUUG